rnacentral:rRNA from 1 species
GAUGAACGCUGGCGGCGUGCUUAACACAUGCAAGUCGAACGGAAAGGCUCCUGCUUGCAGGGGUACUCGAGUGGCGAACGGGUGAGUAACACGUGGGUGAUCUGCCCUGCACUUCGGGAUAAGCUUGGGAAACUGGGUCUAAUACCGGAUAGGACCGCAUUUUGGAUGGUGUGGUGGAAAGUUUUUUCGGUGUGGGAUGAGCUCGCGGCCUAUCAGCUUGUUGGUGGGGUAAUGGCCUACCAAGGCGUCGACGGGUAGCCGGCCUGAGAGGGUGUACGGCCACAUUGGGACUGAGAUACGGCCCAGACUCCUACGGGAGGCAGCAGUGGGGAAUAUUGCACAAUGGGCGCAAGCCUGAUGCAGCGACGCCGCGUGGGGGAUGACGGCCUUCGGGUUGUAAACUCCUUUCGCUAGGGACGAAGAGUAAUUGACGGUACCUUGAGAAGAAGCACCGGCUAACUACGUG